rnacentral:rRNA from 1 species
GGAGAUUAAAGCCUAGGAAUCUGCCUGGUAGUGGGGGACAACGUUUCGAAAGGAACGCUAAUACCGCCUACGUCCUACGGGAGAAAGCAGGGGACCUUCGGGCCUUGCGCUAUCAAAUGAACCUACGUCGGAUUAACUUGUUGGUGAGGUAAUGGCUCGCCAAGGCGACCAUCCGUCACUGGCCUGACAGGAUGAUUAAUCACACUGGAACUGAGACACGGUCCAUACUCCUACGGGAGGCAACAGUGGGGAAUCUUGGACAAUGGGCGAAAGCCUGAUCCAGCCAUGCCGCGUGUGUGAAGAAGGUCUUCGUAUUGUAAAGCACUUUAAGUUGGGAGGAAGGGCAGUAAGAUAAUACCUUGCUGUUUUGACGUUACCGACAGAAUAAGCACCGGCUAACUCUGUGCCAGCAACCGCGGUAAUACAGAGGGUGCCAGCGCUAACUCGGAAAUUACUGGGCGUAAAGCGCGCCUACGUGGUUUGUUAAAUCUGGAUGUGAAAGCCCCGGGGCUCAACCUGGGAACUGCAUCCAAAACUGGCUAUCUAGAGUACGCACACAGGGUGGCGGAAUUUCCUGUGUAACUGCGAAAUGUCGGAGAUAUAGGAAAGCAUCACCAGUGGCGAACGGCGACCACCUGGACUGAUACUGACACUGAAGUGCAAAUUCGUGGCGACCCUACCGAUUAUCAUACCCC